rnacentral:lncRNA from 1 species
GAAUUUAAGUCUUCUUAACAAACAUAAAGUUUACAAUGGAGUUCAACAAAGCAUGACACACCAACCAAAAAACAUAUAACUUUCUUUUUUUCUUGGUUCUAAAGUUUGUCUAGUUCUUCCUCCUCAAAGCCUCCUCGAGCCCGGCCUUGGUUUUCUCUAGCUCUGUCAAACGCUUAUUCAACAAAGCUUGGUCUCUUUGAAGAGAUUUGUUUUUGUCGUCGGCAAUCUGAAACAUGAGAUGACAUCCAUUUUUAUAAUUGAUGUUUGAAUCCCACCCAAAAGAAUAUUAAAAAACACUGCUCUUGCUUGUUACCUUGAGCUUGUAAGCAUACGUUUCUUGUAACCCUCCCGAAUCCUUGACUGGAUCUCGUGGGUAAAGAGAGAAACCUGAUGAAAGGACCAAAAACAACAAGGAUCAAACUUAACUAGCGAGAGAAAGACCAAUUAAUUAAUCCCCCCACACAACAUACCAAGAUGGAAUCCAACGUAGGCUAUUAUCCCUUAAACAAAACACCCCUGUAUAAACACACCAGUAACUGAUGACAUCUCAGCCUCCUCCUUGGUUAUCGCAUCUAGACACACACACACACGCAGCAAUCAUCACCCAGAGUAAUAAAACAAGUAAUUAUUUCAUAUUCUAAAGAGUAAAAAGACCGACCUUUCCGAAUCAGGGAGGAGCAGUCACGAGAUCGGAGGUGCCCUGAUGCGACUCGUCCGACCUUACCAAAGAUGGAUCCCCUCAUCUUCUUACUCAUUAGGUUUUGGAAUUGGGAAUUAGGGUUACUUCUGAAUUACCUGGAAAUUAAAUAGGAUAGUGUAAAGAAUAUAAUGUUUAUUUGAGAAUUCUGUCUGUUAUUACAUUUUUUAAUCAUCAUUUAUAUCAUCAGUAUUCACAGUACUAUGCUUGCACAAAAUAACCAAACUUAACCGAAAACCUGAGCAAGGCAAGUCUGGGAAUUGACUGAGAAGCUUUCAUUGUCUCUUGAGGAAUCGAAAAUUUAUUGACCACAAAAAAAAUCCUCAGACAUGAGUUUGUGUCAAGUCAAGUCUGGGAAUUGACUGACAAGCUCGUGUCUGAAGAUGUUUUCCUGGUCAAUAAGUCUCAUGGAUGAGACGGUGAGGCCUUCAUCUUCGCUGCUGUUAGCUCGUCGUCAUCGGUGGAGAAGAACCGUGCCAAGCAGAACCGGAUCUAAAAAACAUCUCUACCAACUAAUCAAAUUCUCAAAAAAAUUCCUAAGAUAUUAGAUUCCCUUAAAACAAUCAUAACUACCUACUAAUCUCCAAAUAUAGAAAAUAGCCGAUUUCUUACCUUAUCUGGGCGGAUUUUUCCGGAGACUAGGGCACACCAAUGCCUGCUAGCUCCUCCAUUUUAUAUGACCA